rnacentral:piRNA from 1 species
UCUGCUCUUUUGCUGGUUGCAUUCAAAGU